CCAGCUUGCUGGAGUACUCGAGUGGCGAACGGGUGAGUAACACGUGGGUAAUCUGCCCUGCACUCUGGGAUAAGCCUGGGAAACUGGGUCUAAUACUGGAUAUGACCUUUCUCCUUAUGGGGUUUGGUGGAAAGUUUUUCGGUGUAGGAUGAGCCCGCGGCCUAUCAGCUUGUUGGUGGGGUGAUGGCCUACCAAGGCGACGACGGGUAGCCGGCCUGAGAGGGUGAUCGGCCACAUUGGGACUGAGAUACGGCCCAGACCCCUACGGGAGGCAGCAGUGGGGAAUAUUGCACAAUGGGCGGAAGCCUGAUGCAGCGACGCCGCGUGAGGGAUGACGGCCUUCGGGUUGUAAACCUCUUUCAGCAGGGACGAAGCGUAAGUGACGGUACCUGCAGAAGAAGCACCGGCUAACUAUGUGCCGGCAGCCGCGGUAAUACGUAGGGUGCGAGCGUUGUCCGGAAUUACUGGGCGUAAAGAGCUCGUAGGCGGUUUGUCACGUCGUCUGUGAAAUCCUAGGGCUUAACCCUGGACGUGCAGGCGAUACGGGCUGACUUGAGUACUACAGGGGAGACUGGAAUUUCUGGUGUAGCGGUGGAAUGCACAGAUAUCAGGAAGAACACCGAUGGCGAAGGCAGGUCUCUGGGUAGUAACUGACGCUGAGGAGCGAAAGCAUGGGUAGCGAACAGGAUUAGAUACCCUGGUAGUCCAUGCCGUAAACGGUGGGCGCUAGGUGUGGGGUUCCUUCCACGGGCUCCGCGCCGUAGCUAACGCAUUAAGCGCCCCGCCUGGGGAGUACGGCCGCAAGGCUAAAACUCAAAGAAAUUGACGGGGGCCCGCACAAGCGGCGGAGCAUGUGGAUUAAUUCGAUGCAACGCGAAGAACCUUACCUGGGCUUGACAUAUAGAGGAUCGCUACAGAGAUGUGGUUUCCCUUGUGGCUUCUAUACAGGUGGUGCAUGGUUGUCGUCAGCUCGUGUCGUGAGAUGUUGGGUUAAGUCCCGCAACGAGCGCAACCCUUGUCUUAUGUUGCCAGCACGUUAUGGUGGGGACUCGUGAGAGACUGCCGGGGUCAAC
rnacentral:rRNA from 1 species